GAUGAACGCUGGCGGCGUGCUUAACACAUGCAAGUCGAACGAGAGGUGAAGACGGAAACCUUCGGGCGGAAGGCUUUACUUCGAGUGGCGGACGGGUGAGUAACGCGUGGGUAACCUGCCUCAUACAGGGGGAUAACAGUUGGAAACGACUGUUAAUACCGCAUAAGACCACAGCACCGCAUGGUGCGGGGGUAAAAACUCCGGUGGUAUGAGAUGGACCCGCGUUCGAUUAGCCAGUUGGCGGGGUAACGGCCCACCAAAGCGACGAUCGAUAGCCGAUCUGAGAGGAUGACCGGCCACAUUGGGACUGAGACACGGCCCAAACUCCUACGGGAGGCAGCAGUGGGGAAUAUUGCACAAUGGGGGAAAACCCCUGAUGCAGCGACGCCCGCGUGAGUGAAAGAAAGUAAUUCGGUAAGUAAAAGCUCUAUC
rnacentral:rRNA from 1 species